GCUUUCCUAGCUCAGUUGGCAGAGCGUCAGUCUCAUAAUCUGAAGGUCGUGAGUUCGAACCUCACGGAGAGCA
rfam:Lobosporangium transversale strain NRRL 3116 BCR41scaffold_18, whole genome shotgun sequence.